rnacentral:rRNA from 1 species
UACGUAGGGUGCGAGCGUUAAUCGGAAUUACUGGGCGUAAAGCGUGCGCAGGCGGUUUUGUAAGUCUGACGUGAAAUCCCCGGGCUUAACCUGGGAAUUGCGUUGGAGACUGCAAGGCUGGAGUCUGGCAGAGGGGGGUAGAAUUCCACGUGUAGCAGUGAAAUGCGUAGAGAUGUGGAGGAACACCGAUGGCGAAGGCAGCCCCCUGGGUCAAGAUUGACGCUCAUGCACGAAAGCGUGGGGAGCAAACGAGG